UCGUGUGUUGUACAGUCCUUCUGGAAAAAUACUCCACUUAAGAAGAGCCGCGAGUUUCACAGUAACGGAUACUAUGCUGGGAUUAAAGCUAAUAAAACAUACAUGGAGAUAGCGGAAGGACAAGACGACACUCUACUACUUUACAGCACAGUACCAUUUCUGUGUGACGAUCGCAAUCAUCAAGGCUGCUCCAUCGACAUCAAAUUACAUGUUAAUGACGUCACAACGGGAACAGGAAACGAAAACAAAUGUAUCAUUAAAAUUUAUUCAAAAAAUUGGAACACAGCAACUCAUCGAGCAGAGGCAACGGAGACUACUAUAUUUGCUAAACAAGAUCUCCAAACAGAUGGAGACCGGGUAAAUGCGUUGGUUUUUCAACCCAUUCCAACGUCAGAGUUCUACCAUGAUUUGGAAGACAAAUUUGUCCCAGCCACGUACAGUGGCUUCACUCCGGACGGCAUUCAGGUACGAACCAUAGACGCGGGCGCAAAUGGCCAUUGCAAGGGUGUCACUGAUCCACACUACACCACUUUUGAUGGCACGU